rnacentral:rRNA from 1 species
UGCAAGCGUUAUCCGGAAUGAUUGGGCGUAAAGCGUCCGCAGGUGGCAGUUCAAGUCUGCUGUCAAAGACCGGGGCUUAACUUCGGAAAGGCAGUGGAAACUGAACAGCUAGAGUAUGGUAGGGGCAGAGGGAAUUCCUGGUGUAGCGGUGAAAUGCGUAGAGAUCAGGAAGAACAUCGGUGGCGAAGGCGGCGACCUGGUCCUUAUACUGACGCUGAGGCGCGAAAGCGUGGGGAGCAAACAGG